CCUUGUUUCCGAUCGCAUUUUGAGUCGUUUUGGGGGUUAUUUUAAGAGUCGAUAUGUUGACAUCAAGACAACCGUGCGGGAGAUCGGUUUAGUAAUUAAUAGUCGAUGUUAUGAAUUUUACAGUGAUGGAUCGAUUGGCAUUAGGAACAAGUAGAAGCAUCUCACCCCCUGGAUGGAAGAUUCAGUCUCCCGCUUCGGUUCCAGCACCGAAUGACUGAGGUCUGAGGACGGACAUUUUUUGCAGUGUUGCCAUCGACGACUGGAGGGGCUGGGGGGGGGGGGGCUCUGACAGGCACAAUUUACAUUGAGCUCGCCCCGCGCUGCUAUUUACUUUGAAACCUGAUUAGUAUGGGCCGUCUAUUGUCACCAAAAAAGAGGAAGAAACCCUGGACAGAAUAGCAAAAAAGCGGGGUAAAGGAAAGAGUGGACAAAGAUUUUACGCACGACAAAUAUACCCAAAAAAAAAAAAAAAAAAAAAAUGUACACAGCGGCAAAAGGGGGAUUCUGCUUCAGAAAUUCCCCGAAGUUUCAAAAUGGUUUGUCUCGGACUGUUAUCUUCAUUAUAGAAUUAACGGAUGUCAUUAAUGUUUUGCCAUGGAUUGAUAUUUUCACAGGCUGUUUUGUCCUUGGCAUGCGCAUUGCGGUACAUCGUUGCCUGUAAUCGGCACAGUCUCGCUGAUUAAAACUUAACGUUUAGUUUAAACCAGUUAAUAAGAGAAAGAAAAUGUCAGUGGGAAGAAUGAUGCAUAAAAGACAGUGUUAUACAAACGGGAUGCCUUGCCAGCGGCCGAAAAUCUCUAAAAUUAGACCGAGGAAUGAGCAAUAUUCAAUAAUUACCAAGGUCCUAUAGUCUCUACAAUCACUGAGCCGGUGUCAUAUUAUGUCUUAAUAAUGACAGUAAUUCAAAAUGUGAAGUUACUGACAAUUUGCAUGGGGAUUCCGGCUUUUUUCUUGUACCAGGGUUUCUGCAGGCUUACUGCCUCUCCAACUCAAAAAUGUCUGGAUCGCGCUGCCAUCUAGCGUACAUUGUACAAUUACAGCCUCAUAUAAAUGCAUCCAUAACUCAUCAGACAUGCAUUUUAAAUCGCAAAAGCGGAUUUUAAAAAUAUAAAAGUCCGAACUUUGCCGCUGUUGUCUUUUAUCCUUUGUGUGGAUAAAAGACAACAGGAUAUUUUUAUCCACGAGGUUAUGAAAUGUACAACUGUUUUGUUGUUAGGGAUGUAUAACUUAAACAAACAAAAAACAAAACACAACAAAAAAACCCACCAAACCUUCAGCGAACAUAAAAAAUACGUGUUAUUACAUCUGAAUAAAUAUAGCGACAAUAAUACACUACACUCUUGAUCGCACGGAAUAUAGAUUGAACACAAACCCCCAAACCGUGUGCGUACAUGUCCAAAAACAUGGUAAUACCGUGCUGAGACUCAGUAACUAUGCACAAUACGUAUAAUUGUUGUUUAAUGAAUUAAAGACGUUGUAAACAGAGCUUUAACCUCACCGAGAUAAUAGCAGACAUAAAGGAGCGUUAAUAUGCAAGUGCCCCCUUUGUAAACGCAUAGGAGGGAUGGGUUGUUUUUUAAGUAUUCAACAAGAGAGCUCUCUCUCCCGUCCCUGUCUCGGACACUCCACUGAAACUCCCCGGCCAUAUCUCUAGCUCUUUGAAAAGGUGAAACCAAUAAGAUUAAAUCGGACAAAGAUUUUUUUUUCUUCUUCUGUAAGUGUAUCAUUAAGAUUUAACUCUACAGAUUGGAAAGGGUCUCCGCGGGAGAAGAGGAGAGGAGAGUGAGAGUGAGAGGGACAGCGAAUGGGAGCAGGGUAGACGCUCUAAUAGAAUCUGGGAAUCGGCAAGAGUAAAAAGGAGAAAGUGGACGUCAGGACAUUAAAAGAAGAAGCGCCAGCGACGGUGGUUAACGGUAGCGGAGCAGCUUUCUACGUGGGCAAACCGGGCACCGAUAAGGGGCACAGAAGUGUCUGGAAGUGCAGUCACAUUAAGCAAAGAGGAACACGGUGGCCUGCUGCCUGGACACACAGUGGGACAUGUUGGUGUGGUGAAGGGCUGACACUCGGAUGAGAUGUAAUUUAUGGCAAGUGUUGUGUGGUCAUAGGACAGUGACAGUGACGCGUCUGCUUAGAAGCACGAGAAUUGCGACCACGAAGAGCGGUAAAUAUAACAUAAAAGAAUGCUACCACCUGUGUCUUGAGGAAGAAAGGAGCCAACCACCCGCAUUCCUUUUACCAGGAGCUGGUAAAGGUAAGUGGAGCCCCCUGUUAAAAUAAGGCAGCAAAUAAAGGUUUUGUUGUAGUGUUUCUGCAUAAACUGUCAUUUUUUUAACGCAAUGAACCUCACCACCCUUCAUCAGCUACAAAAGUCACUGUUAUAUGAACACACACAGUCACCAUCGAUGACUGUGCAGCCACAAUUGUUGCAAAGGAGCCUCGAGACCAACAAAGCUGGCUGAGACGGUAGCGCCGAAUGGAUCACGCUCUUGAAUUUGAUUUCAUAAUGAUGUAAGAUUACUAAGAGGCAAUGCAACACAGCAAAGAUCUUAAUAAAAAACACAUCAAUCUUGA
ensembl:lncRNA